CCUACGGGAGGCAGCAGUGAGGAAUAUUGGUCAAUGGGCGCUAGCCUGAACCAGCCAUGCAGCGUGAAGGAUGACUGCCCUAUGGGUUGUAAACUGCUUUUAUAUGGGAAUAAAGUGCAGUAUGUAUAUUGCGUUGCAUGUAUCUUACGAAUAAGGAUCGGCUAACUCCGUGCCAGCAGCCGCGGUAAUAGGGAGGUUACGAGCGUUAUCCGGAUUUAUGGGGUUUAAAGGGUGCGUAGGCGGUUUUUUAAGUUAGUGGUAAAAGGUAGGGGCUAAACCUGGAUUUGCCAUUAAUACUGUAGGACUAGAGUUCAGAUGAGGUAGGCGGAAUAAGUGAAGUAGCGGUGAAAUGCUUAGAGAUAACAUAGAACACCGAUAGCGAAGGCAGCUUACCAGACUGUGACUGACGCUGAGGCACGAGAGCGUGGGUAGCAAACAGGAUUAGAUACCCCUGUAGUC
rnacentral:rRNA from 1 species